rnacentral:lncRNA from 1 species
AGGCGACUGCUCCCGCGAGGUCAGAGCCGGGCUGUGCCGCUGCCCCCGGGACUAGAAAGGGAAAUCUCCUUGCUAGAGGAGGAAGCCCUAAGAACUCAAGGGAGAUAGGGGUGGCAGGGGCAUUUCCCUGGAUGCCUGGAGCAUGGAGGGUGCGAAAUAAGGAGGCUUUCCUACCCCAUUGAUGAGCUGAAGUUGAUUCCGCACGGGGGAGGAAAGGGACAGGAAGCAUAAUUGGAUGUGCAAGCCUGUGGUUCUUCAGGAAGUUAACACGUGGAACUAACACUGUUGGAUGCUGCUGAACUCUCAGGUGAUUGAUGUGACUAACCUCCUCAGGUACUUGACCUCUCUCCUCUUCAGCUAAUGAGUAAUUUGUCCUUAUUUAAGAAUGAGAUUUGCGUAUGGGGACCUUUUGCAGAAAUGUAAAUACAUCCCGAUAUCCAUACCUGGGCUUGGUUUUAAAGACUGAAGGUAUUGGGAGGUUUAUUUGAUUUUGGAUGUAUUACUUCUUUGGUCAUGUAUUGGCUAAAAAUAUUAUCAACUAA